rnacentral:lncRNA from 1 species
CUAUGAUUCAUAUCCCCAGAUAUUCUCUGGCAUUCUCACUAUAUAGUUUCCUUUUUUUUUUUUUUUUUUUUGUACUGUAUUGCUUUUUUUUUUUUUUUUCCCCCAGAAAGAGAAAAUCUUACUGGAGAAAACCAUGCCAAGCCUGAGAACAUUGAGUACCCAAGGCCAAGCUCAACAAGGGCAGAGAACUUUCCGGCAAGAAAUUAUCCCAUCUGUAACAAGGCCAGUCUCAUGGUCUACAGCUCACAAUUGGCAAGAAGAUAGCCAGACUGCAACAGGACAUAAACCUGAGGAUGUUUUUUUGUGUGGGAUUCUACAACUUCAUCAUUGUUGAGUUACUAUUCUGUGCCAAAAUCCCCACCUUCUUCUCCCUCCUUCCCAAAUAUACCUUUGAAUGUGUAUUGUGUCAAUGCACAGAGAUGAACCUCACAUCAUUCAGAGCUGAAACACUUCAUCUGGAGACAUGUUGACAGAAAUGGCAUCUAUUCCUUUGUUGGAUUUUAGCAUAUUUUGCAGCAAGGAUAGAGGACAACUUUGAAAUGAUGAGGUAGGCCUUUGUUAGUUUCCUAAACAUGCUAGAAGUGGUGAAUUCUUGGUAUGACCAUGAUGGAGGAUGCAUUGAUGUGGACUGCUUUCUAUUUACUUAAGAAGUUCACAUAUCUUUAAGGCAUUUCUUAUUUUACAAAUACAAAACAUGAAAUGUUAUGAUCACUCAAAUUUUAUAUUACAUUUUAAGAAAAAGUGAUGAGGGAUCCCUGGGUGGCGCAGCGGUUUAGCGCCUGCCUUUGGCCCCAGGCGCAAUCCUGGAGACCCGGGAUCGAAUCCCACGUCGGGCUCCCGGUGCAUGGAGCCUGCUUCUCCCUCUGCCUGUGUCUCUGCCUCUCUCUCUCUCUCUCUCUGUGUGACUAUCAUAAAUAAAAAAAAAAAAAAAAAAGAAAAAGAAAAAGUGAUGAAUUUGCUCUCCACAG